GGGAAAGCAAGAGAAAUUGAUACCUGUCCCCCUGCUCGAUGGUGAACUCCAGGAAGGAGAAGGUCAUUGCCUCACUGUUGCUGAUGUCUGUGUCCACGGAGCACUUCCAGUGGGAAUGGCCCAAGAAAGGGGCAGGAAGCUCCUUGGUCAUUGAGGGCCACUCUUUCCUCCACACCUCCAACCAGAGGGGCC